rnacentral:rRNA from 1 species
AGCGAACGCUGGCGGCAGGCUUAACACAUGCAAGUCGAGCGCCUGUAGCAAUACAGGAGCGGCAGACGGGAGAGUAACACGUGGGAACGUACCCUUUGGUUCGGAACAACCCAGGGAAACUUGGACUAAUACCGGAUAAGCCCUAACGGGGAAAGAUUUAUCGCCAAAGGAUCGGCCCGCGUCUGAUUAGCUAGUUGGUGAGGUAACGGCUCACCAAGGCGACGAUCAGUAGCUGGUCGAGAGGAUGAUCAGCCUCACUGGAACUGAGACACGGUCCAGACACCUACGGGUGGCAGCAGUCGAGAAUUUUUCUCAAUGGGGGCAACCCUGAAGGAGCGACGCCGCGUGGAGGAUGAAGGCUUUCGGGUU